AUUGAACGCUGGCGGCAGGCCUAACACAUGCAAGUCGAACGAGUGGCGAACGGGUGAGUAAUGUCUGGGAAACUGCCUGAUGGAGGGGGAUAACUACUGGAAACGGUAGCUAAUACCGCAUACCAUCGGAUGUGCCCAUAUGGGAUUAGCUAGUAGGUGGGGUAAAGUCUCACCAGGGCGAAGAUCCCUAGCUGGUCUGAGAGGAUGACGGGCAACACUGGAACGGAGACACGCCCCAGACUCCUACGGGAGGAAGCAGGGGGGAAUAUGGCAAAAGGGGCGCAAGCCGGAUGCAGCAAUGCCGGGUGGAGGAAGAAGGCCUUCGGGUUGAAAAGUACUUUCAGCGGGGAGGCGGUACCCGAAGAGGAAGCAACGGCUAACUACGUGCCAGCAGCCGCGGUAAUUC
rnacentral:rRNA from 1 species